rnacentral:rRNA from 1 species
UGGUCUGGGAUAACCCCGGGAAACUGGAGCUAAUACCAGAUAAGACCACGACGUCUCCGGACGAUGUGGGAAAAGAUGGCCUCUCCUUGGAAGCUGUCGCCAAUUGAUGAGUCCGCGUACCAUUAGCUAGUUGGUGAGGUAAAGGCUCACCAAGGCGACGAUGGUUAGCUGGUCUGAGAGGAUGAUCAGCCACACUGGAACUGAGACACGGUCCAGACUCCUACGGGAGGCAGCAGUCGGGAAUCUUGGGCAAUGGGGGAAACCCUGACCCAGCAACUCCGCGUGAGGGAUGAAGGCCUUCGGGUCGUAAACCUCUGUCGGGAGGGAAGAAAAUCUCGUCGUGAAUAUCUU